AGUGAACGCUGGCGGUAGGCCUAACACAUGCAAGUCGAACGGCAGCACAGUAAGAGCUUGCUCUUACGGGUGGCGAGUGGCGGACGGGUGAGGAAUACAUCGGAAUCUACUUUUUCGUGGGGGAUAACGUAGGGAAACUUACGCUAAUACCGCAUACGACCUACGGGUGAAAGCAGGGGAUCUUCGGACCUUGCGCGAUUGAAUGAGCCGAUGUCGGAUUAGCUAGUUGGCGGGGUAAAGGCCCACCAAGGCGACGAUCCGUAGCUGGUCUGAGAGGAUGAUCAGCCACACUGGAACUGAGACACGGUCCAGACUCCUACGGGAGGCAGCAGUGGAGAAUAUUGGACAAAGGGCGCAAGCCUGAUCCAGCCAUACCGCGUGGGUGAAGAAGGCCUUCGGGUUGUAAAGCCCUUUUGUUGGGAAAGAAAAGCAGCAGGUUAAUACCCCGCUGUUCUGACGGUACCCAAAGAAUAAGCACCGGCUAACUUCGUG
rnacentral:rRNA from 1 species